GAUGAACGCUGGCGGCGUGCCUAAUACAUGCAAGUCGAGCGAAUGGAUUAAGAGCUUGCUCUUAUGAAGUUAGCGGCGGACGGGUGAGUAACACGUGGGUAACCUGCCCAUAAGACUGGGAUAACUCCGGGAAACCGGGGCUAAUACCGGAUAACAUUUUGAACCGCAUGGUUCGAAAUUGAAAGGCGGCUUCGGCUGUCACUUAUGGAUGGACCCGCGUCGCAUUAGCUAGUUGGUGAGGUAACGGCUCACCAAGGCAACGAUGCGUAGCCGACCUGCGAGGGAGAUCGGCCACACUGGGACUGAGACACGGACCAGACUCCUACGGGAGGCAGCAGUAGGGAAGCUUCCGCAAUGGACGAAAGUCUGACGGAGCAACGCCGCGUGGGUGAUGAAGGCUUUCGGGUCGUAAAACUCUGUUGUUAGGGAAGAACAAGUGCUAGUUGAAUAAGCUGGCACCUUGACGGUACCUAACCAGAGAGCCACGGCUAACUACGUGCCAGCCGCCGCAGUAA
rnacentral:rRNA from 1 species